CUUCCCACUAGGCGCGUGGUACCCGAGGCCGGGCCGGAGCCGCAGGCCAGCCGCGAUUCCUUCGGGCGAUGCUGGGGGCUUUCCGGUCGGGGCCGCAGCCGCUUCCGGAGCCGCGGGCGAGUCGAUUCACCAUGAUCUUGGCUGGCUGUCUUCUUCCUUCAUGGCUGCUAGUAAUGACAAUUCAGUGGCUGUUUCUUCAGCUGUGCAAAGUUGGAACAUGUUUGGGAGUUCAACGGCAUUGGUUUCUGGUUGGUGCAAGCGGUCUUCUCUGUCUUCUUUAUGGCCAGUAAAAUUCUCCAGAAGAGAUUUAUGGCAGCCUCACUCCCAGUAGUUUCUGCAUUUAGUGAGAUAAGGAAUGGAUUUUCUUCUGUGUAUUGCUGACACGAACAGGAGACGGAAAUACUGAGUAGAAGAGGGCGGUUCCCUGGCUAAGGCCCCACCCUCAAGCCUGGAUACCCGCGGCCCUAAAUGAGAAGAGGCGUUUCUGUUUGGGGCCCAAAAAGUUGCUUUUUGACCCACCACGCCCCCUAUCCUGCCCCCAUAUAAACCCCAAACCCCAACCUCCAGAGCAUACCAGCAGGUGAGGAGAUACGAGGCAAGCCGACUGAC
rnacentral:lncRNA from 1 species